CCUACGGGAGGCAGCAGUGGGGAAUUUUGGACAAUGGGCGCAAGCCUGAUCCAGCAAUGCCGCGUGCAGGAUGAAGGCCUUCGGGUUGUAAACUGCUUUUGUACGGAACGAAACGGUCUGCUCUAAUACAGUGGGCUAAUGACGGUACCGUAAGAAUAAGCACCGGCUAACUACGUGCCAGCAGCCGCGGUAAUACGUAGGGUGCGAGCGUUAAUCGGAAUUACUGGGCGUAAAGCGUGCGCAGGCGGUUAUAUAAGACAGAUGUGAAAUCCCCGGGCUCAACCUGGGACCUGCAUUUGUGACUGUAUAGCUAGAGUGCGGCAGAGGGGGAUGGAAUUCCGCGUGUAGCAGUGAAAUGCGUAGAUAUGCGGAGGAACACCGAUGGCGAAGGCAAUCCCCUGGGCCUGCACUGACGCUCAUGCACGAAAGCGUGGGGAGCAAACAGGAUUAGAUACCCUGGUAGUCCACGCCCUAAACGAUGUCAACUGGUUGUUGGGGUCUUCACUGACUCAGUAACGAAAGCUAACGCGUGAAGUUGACCGCCUUGGGGAGUACGGCCGCAAGGUUGAAACUUCAAAUUGAAUUGACGG
rnacentral:rRNA from 1 species